AACGAUAAAGACAUAUGUACCAUUUUUAUUCAUGUUUCUAUGGCUGCAGCUGGAUGGGACGAUCCAAGGAGAGCAGGUGGAGCAGCAUCCUUCCACCCUGAGAGUCCAGGAGGGAGCCAGUGCUGUCAUCAACUGCACUUACACAGACAGUGCCUCAUCCUACUUCUCUUGGUGUAAGCAAGGACUUGGAGAGGAUCCUAAGCUCAUUAUUAACAUUCGAUCAACUAUGGAGAGAAAGCAGGACCGAAGACUGACAGUCACUCUCCAUAAGAGCAGCAGCUCCUUCCACCUGCAGAAGUCCUCAGUGCAGCUGUCAGACUCUGCCCUGUACCACUGUGCUCUGAGUGACACA